GUAGGUGAACCUGCGGAAGGAUCAUUAUCACGUAUCCACGUAUAAACCAUUGUGAACCGUUCUUUCACCUUUGCAAGGGAUAGGAAAAAGGCCGAGUGUUCUUUCUCUCCGGAGUUGGCGCUCAAUCGAUUUCCUGUUACCUGCAAAGCGUAUAACCUUUAUAUUAACCAUUUUAACCAAUCUUUAUAACUUUUAUGAACUAAACUUUAUUUUAUACUCUUCGGAGAUAAAAUUCAUUACGAAACAAAGAACAACUCUUAGCAACGGAUAUCUUGGUUCUC
rnacentral:misc_RNA from 1 species